rnacentral:rRNA from 1 species
GCUCAGGAUGAACGCUAGCUACAGGCUUAACACAUGCAAGUCGAGGGGUAGCAGGGUAGCAAUACCGCUGACGACCGGCGCACGGGUGAGUAACACGUAUCCAACCUUCCCAUAACUCGGGGAUAGCCUUUCGAAAGAAAGAUUAAUACCCGAUAGUACUUUAUUAAGGCAUCUUAAGAAAGUUAAAGAUUUAUUGGUUAUGGAUGGGGAUGCGUCCCAUUAGAUAGUUGGUGAGGUAACGGCUCACCAAGUCUUCGAUGGAUAGGGGUUCUGAGAGGAAGGUCCCCCACAUUGGUACUGAGACACGGACCAAACUCCUACGGGAGGCAGCAGUGAGGAAUAUUGGUCAAUGGGCGAGAGCCUGAACCAGCCAA